UACGUAGGGUGCGAGCGUUAAUCGGAAUUACUGGGCGUAAAGCGUGCGCAGGCGGUUAUAUAAGACAGUUGUGAAAUCCCCGGGCUCAACCUGGGAAUUGCAUCUGUGACUGUAUAGCUAGAGUACGGUAGAGGGGGAUGGAAUUCCGCGUGUAGCAGUGAAAUGCGUAGAUAUGCGGAGGAACACCGAUGGCGAAGGCAGCUCACUAAGCUAUGAUUGACGCUGAGGCUCGAAAGCGUGGGGAUCAAACAGG
rnacentral:rRNA from 1 species